GGUUGCCCCUUUAAAUUCCCAGUAUUUCGGUAAUUUGCACCUGUCUCUCGCAUCGCGCUUCCUUCCCCUAUAUGCGGCGUUUAACCAACCAUACGACUCCCUCACUCUCCACCGCCACGACCACUCAAUUUCGUGGUCAUCGUUACACAUGUCAAGCCUUCGUUCCCUGCAACACCUCUGUUGAUUUGUUCACUUCCACUCUCCAAUUUCUGGUGUUUCAUUCUUUUUAGUAACAUGAAUCUCUCAUUUCAAACACAUCCACAAGCUCUAAACCUCACUAUAGAACCUGAGUUUAAAUGAUUUUAGAAGUUGCGACGAGUUAAACAUAUACUCCUCACUCUCUAUACCGAUUUAAAGUAUACGCUGCCACGAUUUUAAAUCCUGCACCGAUUUCAAGCCCUAAUUUUCACUAUCGAUCCGAUUUGAAGAUUUGGUGCUUCCUAUCCAACAGUUUGCAGGUCAUAAUAUGUUUAGAGUUGUGGAAAUACCCAAUUUAUUUGGUCAUUUGAUCCUCCUAUCAAUGAAGAAGUUCUUGUUUGUGAUCUGAUUCUUAGUCUAUGGAUGAGCUAUGAAGUCCGUCUUGGCUAAAUCUUCUUUACUACCUUCACCACAUAUCGCUUCUUCUCACCAUCGUUCACCACCACAAUCUCUCCUUAACAACAAAGUCCUCUAGCAUAUGCGCAUGUUCUCUUAUCAUUUGACCUUGAUUUCAAAUUUCAAAGCUCUAACCUCAGGUAGCAUUUCUGAACUCGAUAUCUAUGGUGUUUUGACCUCAUGAUAUUUCUAUAAGAGAAGUUUUUCUCUCUGCUAUUAUGGGAUCACAUUUAGAUUUUGGUCAGGUUUUCUCAUUAAUCUUUUCAUUUAGUCAAUGUUCUUGACAUGAAUAAGGGUAUUUUGUCUCAAUCUCUUUCUUUAUAUUAAGGAAUUGAACUUCAUUUUUUUUGAAUUAAGGCAUUGCACUUCCAAAAUCAAGUCUCUUCCCGGUUUAGUGAAUUGUUUGCUGAUGUAUGUUUUUCUAAAUUAUAUUGACAUGAAAUAAUUAAUUUAAAAUGUAAUGUUUUUCUAAGUACAUAAUUAAAAUACAACGAUUUAAUGAGAAAAUAAACUUAAAGCAUAUAGUUUAGUUAGAAAAAAAUAAAAUAGUUGUUUGCGUGGAAAAAGACCAUAAUAUAGUAUUGUUGAUUUGAAAAACCAAUGUACUAGAACCAAAUAUUAAUAUAAGUACAUUUUUAGUUGAUAUGUUGUUUUUAAUUUGUUCUUUUAAUCGCUUCUAACGGAUGUACUAUAUACACGACUUUGAUAUAAAGGGCGUGUUUGGCACAGAGCUUUAGGAAGCGUUUGGGAGCUUCUAGCUUUUAGCUUUUGACAAAACGCUUUAGUUUAAACAAAAAGCUUCGUUUGGUAGUACGAGCGUUUAGCUUUUAGUUUUAACAAAACGCUCCGAUUCUAAAAGCUACUUCAUGUAGCUUUUAACAAAACGCUCCAGAGCUUUUGAAAUCAAUUUCUAUAAUUACCCUUAAAAAUAUAUUUAUAUAUUUUUUUAUUUUUAAUCAAUUGUCCUUUUAUGUAAUUUUAUAUAUUUCAAAAGCUUCCAGCUACUUUUGCCAAACAUUCAUAUAACAAAUAAAAGCUACAGCUUUCCGCUACCAACUACCUGCUACCAGCUAACCGCUACCCGCUUCCAGCUAACAGCUACUUUUGCCAAACACGCCCAAAGGAGGUGAACCAAUGUUGAAGGCAAUAGAGAAGAAAAUAUAUCAUAUAUGGUGGAAAUGAAAUCUCUGAUUCAUCUAGGUGCUAGCUGCUGGAAAAUGUGUUUGCUGACCCAAAAGGCUAUGGAAUAGGAUAUAUGUGUUUAUAUUUUUGAAGGAAGUAGCAAUGUACACAGUACAUUCAGCCCCAUUCCAAACUUUAACCUUUUGAGCAAUAUAUUAAGCACAUUAAAUAAAUUAAGUCAAUUAAUGCAAUAAACAUUGAUGUUCCAUGAUUUUUCAAAGUUUUUUAAUGUUUUUCGGUU